UGCAAGUCGAGCGGGGUUACUGCGACAGAUCCCUUCGGGGUGACGUUGCUUUAACCUAGCGGCGGACGGGUGAGUAACGCGUGGGUAACCUACCCUAAAGCUCGGGAUAACAGUGGGAAACCGCUGCUAAUACCGGAUGACUUUAACCUAUGGCAUCAUGGGUUAAAGAAAGAUUUAUCGCUUUAGGAUGGGCCCGCGUCCCAUUAGCUAGUUGGUGAGGUAACGGCUCACCAAGGCGACGAUGGGUAGCCGGCCUGAGAGGGUGUACGGCCACACUGGGACUGAGACACGGCCCAGACUCCUACGGGAGGCAGCAGUAGGGAAUAUUGCGCAAUGGACGGAAGUCUGACGCAGCGACGCCGCGUGAGCGAUGAAGGCCUUCGGGUCGUAAAGCUCUGUCCUUGGGGAAGAAGGUCUUCGGACUUGACGGUACCCAAGAAGAAAGCCCCGGCUAACUACGUGCCAGCAGCCGCGGUAAUACGUAGGGGGCGAGCGUUGUCCGGAAUUACUGGGCGUAAAGGGUGCGUAGGCGGCCCUUUAAGUCAGAUGUGAAAGGCCACGGCUUAACCGUGGGAUUGCAUUUGAAACUGGAGGGCUUGAGUGUCGGAGAGGGUAGUGGAAUUCCCAGUGUAGCGGUGAAAUGCGUAGAUAUUGGGAGGAACACCAGUGGCGAAGGCGACUUUCUGGACUGUAACUGACGCUGAGGUACGAAAGCGUGGGUAGCGAACAGGAUUAGAUACCCUGGUAGUCCACGCCGUAAACGAUGGAUACUAGGUGUAGGGGGUAUCGACCCCCCCUGUGCCGGAGUUAACGCAAUAAGUAUCCCGCCUGGGGAGUACGGUCGCAAGACUGAAACUCAAAGGAAUUGACGGGGGCCCGCACAAGCAGCGGAGCAUGUGGUUUAAUUCGAAGCAACGCGAAGAACCUUACCAGGGCUUGACAUCCCGAUGACCGGUACAGAGAUGUACCUUCCCUUCGGGGCAUUGGAGACAGGUGGUGCAUGGUUGUCGUCAGCUCGUGUCGUGAGAUGUUGGGUUAAGUCCCGCAACGAGCGCAACCCCUAUCCUUAGUUGCCAUCAGUUAAAGCUGGGCACUCUAAAGAGACUGCCGGGGAUAACUCGGAGGAAGGUGGGGAUGACGUCAAAUCAUCAUGCCCCUUAUGUCCUGGGCUACACACGUGCUACAAUGGCCUGUACAGAGGGAAGCGAAGCCGUAAGGCGGAGCAAAACUCAGAAACCAGGUCCCAGUUCGGAUUGUGGGCUGCAACUCGCCCACAUGAAGUCGGAGUUGCUAGUAAUCGCGAAUCAGCAUGUCGCGGUGAAUACGUUCCCGGGCCUUGUACACACCGCCCGUCACACCAUGGAAGUUGGGGGGACCCGAAGCCGGUGACC
rnacentral:rRNA from 1 species